UGAAAUAAUAAUAUUUCAGUUGUAUGUGCCCAAGGAGAUGGCAAGCUUGAGAAACAAGAAUAAUCCUUUCAGCUUGUUUAAAGCUGAGCCCUCACUCUCGGAAUUAAGAAACUGACAAAGGAUGUGUGAUUCCCAGGGACCCUCCCAAAUAAACUUCCAAUCUGUUUCUGGAGGACCUGAUCUGUAACUCCUGACAAUAUGUUCUGAAUGCUGAAGGAUGGAGAUACACUUUGGCAUCCUUGAGAAAACCUGGCCGUGUUAGCCCUAUUUAAUAUAUGGAGAGUAACUUGCUGAAGACAGUGGGUUAUAGAAAAUUUCUUCUGACAAGCUCCAAUUUCUGUUACCAGCCAACGGACUCAAGCCCCUCAUUCAAAGAAAACAACAGAAGAGACUUGGUGUUUUGUGAAAUGGCACAUUCCAAAAUCUCUGUCACUUAGAAAAGGAUGUAAGCUCAGGAUCAAAGCAUCAUCUUCAAAGAAGGGUAAGGUACUUGUUAAAUAACUCCUGGCAAUUGCUUAAGCACCAGGCAUUGUAAUUUCAGAGAGUAGGAACAGAACUAAAAAUAGAUAAGUGGAUAGGGACAGGACCAGAGACAUCAUUGUCACUCAAACUUGAAUGUCAUUUUUGACAGCAUUACAGCAAUUGAUUCUUGGUUCUCCACAUUAGGAAUUUAGUAGUCACAUUUUGCUGUGACAGCCCUAGGAGAAGGGAAGGGGCAGGACCCU